AUUGAACGCUGGCGGCAGGCCUAACACAUGCAAGUCGAGCGGAUGAAGGGAGCUUGCUCCUGGAUUCAGCGGCGGACGGGUGAGUAAUGCCUAAGAAUCUGCCUGGUAGUGGGGGAUAACGUCCGGAAACGGGCGCUAAUACCGCAUACGUCCUGAGGGAGAAAGUGGGGGAUCUUCGGACCUCACGCUAUCAGAUGAGCCUAGGUCGGAUUAGCUAGUUGGUGGGGUAAAGGCCUACCAAGGCGACGAUCCGUAACUGGUCUGAGAGGAUGAUCAGUCACACUGGAACUGAGACACGGUCCAGACUCCUACGGGAGGCAGCAGUGGGGAAUAUUGGACAAUGGGCGAAAGCCUGGUCCAGCCAUGCCGCGUGUGUGAAGAAGGUCUUCGGAUUGUAAAGCACUUUAAGUUGGGAGGAAGGGCAGUAAGUUAAUACCUUGCUGUUUUGACGUUACCAACAGAAUAAGCACCGGCUAACUUCGUG
rnacentral:rRNA from 1 species